rfam:Cricetulus griseus cell line CHO-K1, whole genome shotgun sequence.
UAAAAGGCUCUUUUCAGAGCCACCUAUGUUGUCAUUAAGAGCAGCU